ACAGGGACUAAAACGAGUGCCUACCACCACCUCAGGCUGAAAAUUGGGGUAGACCUGGCAUCAAAGGGAUGCAGCAGUUAUGCUGGUAUUGGAGCCUCUGCACUUUGCUCAUCAGAGGAAUGGGAAGAACAGAUUGAAUAAGUUACAGGAUGGUGCCAAGGCCCCAAGCCAUGAUCCUGGAGCCAGUCUUUUGUGAAAGCCCCAUCCAAAGUUCAAGAUGUACUGUUGGAGAUCAUCCUUUCUGAGUGCUGGGCUGAUAUUCUUUGCAGUGACAGCCACGGGAUUGCUCAUUAAGCCCCGAGAGGGCAGCGUUGCUGGAGGAACAUGGAUUACUAUUACCCUGGAUGG